GACGAACGCUGGCGGCGUGCUUAACACAUGCAAGUCGAACGGACAGGCCCUGCUUUUGUGGGGUGCUCGAGUGGCGAACGGGUGAGUAACCCGUGAGUAACCUGCCCUUGCCUUUGGGAUAACUUCAGGAAACUGGGGCUAAUACCGGAUAGGAGCUCCUGCUGCAUGGUGGGGGUUGGAAAGUUUCGGCGGUUGGGGAUGGACUCGCGGCUUAUCAGCUUGUUGGUGGGGUAGUGGCUUACCAAGGCUUUGACGGGUAGCCGGCCUGAGAGGGGGACCGGCCACAUUGGGACUGAGAUACGGCCCAGACUCCUACGGGAGGCAGCAGUGGGGAAUAUUGCACAAUGGGCGGAAGCCUGAUGCAGCAACGCCGCGUGCGGGAUGACGGCCUUCGGGUUGUAAACCGCUUUCGCCUGUGACGAAGCGUGAGUGACGGUAAUGGGUAAAGAAGCACCGGCUAACUACGUG
rnacentral:rRNA from 1 species